GCAGUAUUUGACUUGAUGUAAAUGCACAUUCCUUAAUGUGUUUUGCCUCUUAUAACUGCUUUUUUACAUCUUUACAUGCUUCAUUGUGGAGCGGAGGUCUUUCUACCGGUCAAGUAUCAUUGCCUUGUCACAGGUCAUUCACCAGUGGCUCCAGUCUGGUUUGGGGGUCUACCCUUUCUCAUCCUGGCCUGCCAGCCAAGUAAAAAGAGAAAUAACUACAGACCUCUGCAACUGCUGAUACCGGUUCAGGAUGAAUUGCAGAUGCUGUGAGAGAGUCAGUGGUUCAACCAGCCAACAAACAGGAAAAACUGUCAGCAACUCUACCCAAAAAAAUCAGGCUACUGUUAUUGCCCACUAAGAAAAACAGUGGUCUGGUAUGAAGGUUAUCUGUGUUUUGGAACAUGUUCUUAAUAUUCAUUAAAUAAUAAAAAAAAGUUUGACACUUUA